GUAGGUAGGCACGAGCCUGUGAGCCUGUGCUGGAGGGGUGAGAAAUGCUUUUUCCACCCAUACACAAAGAGCCGGUGGGGUGACCUCAGCUGUCUGCUGGGGGAAGCUACCAGUGCUCCAUCUCACCAGCAUGCUGGGACAGGAUGCUGCAGACCGGCAGUGAGGGACCUAAUCCUCCCCCAGGACCGCCCCAAGUUUUCAGUGGACCUGGUAUUUUCAGACAUUUCUGAUAUUUGGAGCUGGCUCCCAGGUGAGAUUGAAGUACCUCCGUUUCUGGUUUCCAGCAUCCAUCAAUAAGAUGGCCAGCCUUUCUCCUGGACCAGAAUCCUGAGAUUGACUCUAACACGUCUGUGUUCAGAAUAAAAGUGUUGUGAACAUACCUUUACAUGGAGAAUGCAUUUCAAGCCCAGAAGAGACAGGUGUUGGUGUUUUUCAGCAAAGACCCACAUGGAUGACUCCAUUAUUUUGUCCGUGACUGCUGUCAGGCUGAUAGUACCACAUCACCCACAUUAUUUUGUUUAUUUGUUCCAGAAGGAUUGUUUCGAUUCUCAGACUGCAAGUUAUGUGUCUCAAACUCAACAGCACUCGUUGAUCCUUGGUUAGUUCUUGUGCAACUCUGGUAUGCCAGUUACACAGACAUCUAAUAUCUAAACAUCUGAUUUUACAAACUAUUCUUUUACUUUUUUUUUUUUUUUUGGCUGUAAUGGAAAGUAUUUAACCAUCUUCUCGUGCUCUAUCUGUUAUCUGUAUUUUCCCCCAAGCUGGAAUACAAAUGUUUCCUGAAGAUACUCGCUGCUUCUGAAUUAUUAUUUGCAGGUCUGUCUUGUCCUUUCACAUUCAGCAACAACAUCCACAGACCAAUAACACAACAUUUUCUCUGAUUUUAAUACAUUAAAAAUUUCUAUUUAUUGCCCCAGCCUUGCCAUCUUCCUGUUCCCCUUGGCACUUUUCUCUUCCCCAGCAAUCUCUACAAUUUCUAGUUUCUAAUUUUUACUUUUAAGCUUCCCCAGUUCUUACAUACUGGAGUUUUAUUAUUCUUUUCAUAGCUACACUCACUUCCCUUGUAAAGCAGCUUUUUAAAAUCUAAUUUAGUCUUCUCUUUCAGCUGUGGGUUUAUGUUUUUUUGGAUAUAGACUAAAAUAUUUUUAACAGUUUCCAAUUUUCAUUUACAUUUUUAAAUUCUCUUUGCCAGCCAGUUUUUCAUCUGUUUUUUGAAUCAAUAGAGUGUACCUACAAGAAGUUUUCAAACCUUCUUUCCUUCCUUUUAUUAAAAGAAAAAACAAAGAAGAGAAACCUGAGAUUUGUAUCUAAUCCCAUGACUCCAAAGUCUGGGGUUUUUAAAACAUGUAAUAAAGGUCCAGAUAAAAUCA
ensembl:lncRNA